CACAAGGGAGAUGUCCGCCCCCAGUCGUAGCCUCGGACGGUUUCUGAGCGUUGGUGUUUGGCACGCGCCACCCUCUCUUGCUUUGGUUCCGCCAUGCCGAUGUACCAGGUAAAACCUUAUCACGGGCGCGGCGCGCCUCUCCGUGUGGAGCUUCCCACCUGCAUGUACCGGCUCUCUAACGUGCAAGGCAGGAGCGGCGGCCCAGCGCCCGGCGUUGGCCACCUACAGCUAUGAAACUGAUGACCUCCCUGGUAAGAGUUGCCCUCCAACUGAGUCUGCACGAAGAUAUCAAUCAGCGUCAGUAUGAGGCUGAAAGAAACAAGGGGCCAGGGCAGAGGGCACCUGAGCGGCUGGAGAGCCUGUUGGAGAAACACAAAGAGCUGCAUUAAUACUACAUUGUCAAAGACAAAGACGAACAUGAGACAUGCGAUAUGAGUUUUAAAAGGAGAGAAGAGCAAAAAAACAAUACAGCUAUCCAAGGAGCAAGUGCUGAGCUUGUGAAAAAACAGCUUCUAUUUUAUUAAAUAAUAGUGUUCCUGCAGGGAUGUCUGAAGUACUCUGCAAGGCUAAUUAGGACAGAUCAAUGUACACUUACCUCUCCAGAAGGCUGAAAGGUGUGUAGUGACUAUGUGUCAUUAAAAAUUUACUUGACCAUGGGCAACAGAUGUCCAUGAAAGAA
ensembl:lncRNA STAG3L4 STAG3 cohesin complex component like 4 (pseudogene)